rnacentral:rRNA from 1 species
GACGAACGCUGGCGGCGUGCUUAACACAUGCAAGUCGAACGCUGAAGCUCAGCUUUUGUUGGGUGGUUGAGUGGCGAACGGGUGAGUAACACGUGAGUAACCUGCCUCCUUCUUUGGGAUAACGCCCGGAAACGGGUGCUAAUACUGGAUAUUCACUGGUCUUCGCAUGGGGGUUGGUGGAAAGGGUUUUUCUGGUGGGGGAUGGGCUCGCGGCCUAUCAGCUUGUUGGUGGGGUGAUGGCCUACCAAGGCUUUGACGGGUAGCCGGCCUGAGAGGGUGACCGGUCACAUUGGGACUGAGAUACGGCCCAGACUCCUACGGGAGGCAGCAGUGGGGAAUAUUGCACAAUGGGCGCAAGCCUGAUGCAGCGACGCCGCGUGAGGGAUGGAGGCCUUCGGGUUGUGAACCUCUUUCGCUCAUGGUCAAGCCGCAACAAUGGUUGUGGUGAGGGUAGUGGGUAAAGAAGCGCCGGCUAACUACGUG